ACAGACUCCUGUGAAGUUUUGCUACAGACUCACAGGGUGAGAAAUCCGAUGGUGUCUGCAGCUUUAUACUGUCCUGCGGUCCAUGUGUUGUAGAUUGGCUGCCACUAUCUUUCCUGGAGAGAAGUCUGUGGUCCAGGUUCCACAGAGUGGAUUUCUUCAGCGGCGGUUCUCCUAGACACUCUCUUUCUUCUGUCUAUAAUGCCACUAGUUGAGCUGGAUUAGAGUUUGCCAUAGCAACUCAUUUUAAUAACCUCUUUUAAAAAAUCCUGUAUCCAAACAUGGUCUCAUUCUGAAGUGCUGGAGUUGAGAAUUUCAACGUGAAUUUGGUGGAGGAGACACAAUUUAGUCCAUGACACAAGCUACCAAAACCCCACUCUGUCCCCUGAUUGUUUAGAUGACCUUGAACUGCAUUUCUUUCUUUUAGGACUCUUAACCCAAAUUCUUACAACUUGUUAGCAGUCAAAAUAUUUCGCCACUUUCAUUAAAUAAUUGCUCAAAGCAGUGCAUUAA
ensembl:lincRNA Gm27188 predicted gene 27188